rnacentral:rRNA from 1 species
GACGAACGCUGGCGGCGUGCUUAGCACAUGCAAGUCGAGCGGAAAGGCCCUUCCGGGGGUACUCGAGCGGCGAACGGGUGAGUAACACGUGAGUAAUCUGCCCUGGACUCUGGGAUAGCCACCGGAAACGGUGAUUAAUACCGGAUAUGACACCUUGAUGCAUGGUGGGGUGUGGAAAGUUUUUUCGGUCCAGGAUGUGCUCGCGGCCUAUCAGCUUGUUGGUGAGGUAAUGGCUCACCAAGGCUUUGACGGGUAGCCGGCCUGAGAGGGUGACCGGUCACACUGGGACUGAGACACGGCCCAGACUCCUACGGGAGGCAGCAGUGGGGAAUAUUGGACAAUGGGCGGAAGCCUGAUCCAGCAACGCCGCGUGAGGGAUGACGGCCUUCGGGUUGUAAACCUCAUUCAGUACCGACGAAGCGUGAGUGACGGUAGGUACAGAAGAAGGACCGGCCAACUACGUGCCAGCAGCCGCGGUAAAAC